rnacentral:rRNA from 1 species
UACGUAGGGCGCAAGCGUUGUCCGGAUUUAUUGGGCGUAAAGAGCUCGUAGGCGGUCUGUCGCGUCGGCUGUGAAACCCCGAGGCUCAACCUCGGGCCUGCAGUCGAUACGGGCAGACUAGAGUGUGGUAGGGGAGGCUGGAAUUCCUGGUGUAGCGGUGAAAUGCGCAGAUAUCAGGAGGAACACCGGUGGCGAAGGCGGGUCUCUGGGCCAUAACUGACGCUGAGGAGCGAAAGCGUGGGGAGCGAACAGG